CAAAAUAUUUUAAACACUAUUUUUCCCAUUAUCCUGGUCUAGACAGAUAGAUUAUUUUUCUAAAGUUCAAUAAAUUGCAAUGCUCAAAAAUCCUACAUGGUUUUCCAACAUUAAGUUUUGUUUCCCUUGUUCCUGUGCUUUAUUCAUGAUGUUUCAUGAAUGCUGCCCAAUCAAAUUUAGUUUAUUUGGUUCAAGAUGCUGCAGUGGGAAGUAGUUCACUGCCUGGGCAUGCAAUAGAUCUGGCCUCUCGUGCUGGCUCCAGGUAGCUGUGUGACCUUGGGAAGAUAUCUGAUAUCUCUGGGCUUCAUUUCCCUCAUAUUAUAAAAUGCAGGGAGCUGGACAAGCUGAUCUCUGUGGUUCCUUUCGGCUCCACCUUCUGGGACUUGCAGUUCGGUUGCCAUAAAGUCAGCAGAGGGAGCACUUUUUCUACAUCUCAUAAAUUUUGACUAUUAUUUCAACACCUCUCAAAAAGCAAGGGGUUUGUGAAAAACGUUACUGAAACUAAAAACUGACAAUCCUUCACAUAGUGUGUAUCAAAUCACGAAUGUGAUUAUAAAUUUGAGAAAAAG